AUGAACGCUGGCGGCGUGCUUAACACAUGCAAGUCGAACGGAAAGGCUCCUGCUUGCAGGGGUACUCGAGUGGCGAACGGGUGAGUAACACGUGGGUGAUCUGCCCUUCACUUCGGGAUAAGCCUGGGAAACUGGGUCUAAUACCGGAUAGGACGAUGGUUUGGAUGCCAUUGUGGAAAGUUUUUCGGUGUGGGAUGAGCUCGCGGCCUAUCAGCUUGUUGGUGGGGUAAUGGCCUACCAAGGCGUCGACGGGUAGCCGGCCUGAGAGGGUGUACGGCCACAUUGGGACUGAGAUACGGCCCAGACUCCUACGGGAGGCAGCAGUGGGGAAUAUUGCACAAUGGGCGCAAGCCUGAUGCAGCGACGCCGCGUGGGGGAUGACGGCCUUCGGGUUGUAAACUCCUUUCGCUAGGGACGAAGCGCAAGUGACGGUACCUGGAGAAGAAGCACCGGCUAACUACGUG
rnacentral:rRNA from 1 species